rnacentral:rRNA from 1 species
UCCGAGGGGGGCAAGCGUUGUUCGGAAUUAUGGGGCGUAAAGGGCGCGUAGGCGGUGCGGUAAGUCACCUGUGAAAACUCUGGGCUUAACCCAGAGCCUGCAUCCAAAACUGGCGAACUGGAGUACUGGAGGGGAAAGCGGAAUUCCUGGUGUAGCGGUGAAAUGCGUAGAUAUCAGGAGGAACACCGGUGGCGAAGGCGGCUUUCUGGACAGUAACUGACGCUGAGGCGCGAAAGCCGGGGGAGCAAACAGG